rnacentral:lncRNA from 1 species
CUUCUGGGAAUAGAAUCCUGGUGCUUAACUAAAUAGCUGUCAUUGUCUUCUGGUCUGCCAAAAAAGGAGAUGACGGUUCAUUCUUCUUUUGUAAGAAUCACGAGGUUUUUCGGAAGAAAAAAGAAAACCAAAAAAACGGUGGUUACAUUUGUUGCCUUAUCUUGAAAUGAGAUUAUGUGGGGGAAAAUAAAGGCAUCAAUGAGGAAUCAGUGUUUCCAAAUAUGAUGGAGUUUUACAGUCUGAAAAUUUCUCUUUUCCUCUCAUAGGUGUGCCCGUGUGUGGAUGAGUCGGCGCGGUGUGCCUGCCUUGCUCCAGAAUAAGCCUCCAUGGGUUCCUAUGGCAGUGGACACAUCUGGUAAAGUUGUGUGUAAACUACUAAGUGGAUUUCAGCUGGAAGUCACUUCUUCUGUGACUAAAGGCUCCCCUGAGUCAUUUGUAUGAAGUAAUUUGUCCUUCACAAACAGGUGGGUAGCUGUAGAAUUUUUUAAAAUAACAAUUUUGACUUUUAAAUUUUAUUUGUUAUUUUGUUCUGUUUACUCUUUUGAGGUAUUGAGAAAUCCUAAAUUAAU